GGCUUAGAACUAACGCUGGCAGUGCGUCUUAAGCAUGCAAGUCAAACGGGAUGUAGCAAUACAUCUAGUGGCGAACGGGUGAGUAACGCGUGGAUGAUCUACCUACGAGAUGGGGAUAACUAUUAGAAAUAGUAGCUAAUACCGAAUAAAGUCAAUUAAUUUGUUAAUUGAUGAAAGGAAGCCUUUAAAGCUUCGCUUGUAGAUGAGUCUGCGUCUUAUUAGCUAGUUGGUAGGGUAAAUGCCUACCAAGGCGAUGAUAAGUAACCGGCCUGAGAGGGUGAACGGUCACACUGGAACUGAGAUACGGUCCAGACUCCUACGGGAGGCAGCAGCUAAGAAUCUUCCGCAAUGGGCGAAAGCCUGACGGAGCGACACUGCGUGAAUGAAGAAGGUCGAAAGAUUGUAAAAUUCUUUUAUAAAUGAGGAAUAAGCUUUGUAGGAAAUGACGAAGUGAUGACGUUAAUUUAUGAAUAAGCCCCGGCUAAUUACGUGCCAGCAGCCGCGGUAAUACGUA
rnacentral:rRNA from 1 species